AGCCCAGAAACUGCCCGACGGCUCUCUCUGCCAAGGAGGAGGGGUCUUUCUUUCUCCCUCUCCUUGCCCCACACUGAUACAAAGAUUCUGGAUCUCUAUUCUCAUGAGAUCUAUGAAAUCCUUUCUUUCUGUUUUACCCUCUCUUCUCUCCUAAGGAGUAUGUAUUUUUCACCAUUCUUAUCCUUUGUCUUAUCACAGAAGUAGAGAAGUGCCUGACUCUUUGUGGAAUCAUAUCCAGCCCACCACACCUGGUCGUCUUACCUCAUCAGCAUGUGGAUGUUACUAAAGUGUGGAGGGAAGGAAGCUAAGCUGGAGAGACAUUCUGCUUGUAUCCUGAAUGUUCAAAUGCUAUCUUCCAAGGAAACAGACUAUGAGACAAAACAGAGAUUAGAGAAUGUUGUGACGUCUAGGAAAGGCUCUGUUUGUACCUGCUUAUCUGAGAAGAUUGCUGUUGAAGUGAAGCUGUUGGAGGUGGAGUGGCUUCGUUUGUUAGCUCUUGAAGUCAAAGACAGUGUCCAGCUCAACGAUGGAACUUUUGGAGUGUUUAGUAACUAUUUUUGA
rnacentral:lncRNA from 1 species